CUAGAGGAGGAGGAGGAGCAUGUGUCUGUCAUGCUCCUUUGCGGUUCCCACAAUUCCCAGCACAGGAUGUGGGAACCGCAAAGGAGCAUGACAGACACAUGCUCCUCCUCCUCCUCA